CUGUUGGGGGUGGGGCCCGGUUGCCCUCACUCCCCAGGACGCUGGUUGCUGUAAGGUGGAGGGAUCGACCAUCGGUUGUCUCCUCUCCUGGCAAAGUAUACUGCUGCUGGGGAUCUGGGCCGGCUGCCCAGCAUCCCUGUAGGGCCGGCAGAGAGACCUCGGUCCCAUCUCCGCCUGCCAUGUGUGGGUCUUCCCAGGCCUAUGUCUAUGAGGUCCCUCACCUCUGGCUGCUGUUGGAGAGGGAGGCCGGUUGCCUCCCCUCCCCAGGACGCUGGCUGCUGUACGGUGGAGGGAUCAACCAUCACCUCCUCCUGGAACUCAGGACGCCGCUGGGGAAGGAGACCGGUUGUCUCCUCUCCCUGCAGAGUAUACUGCCGCUGGGGAGCAGGACCGACUGUCCCUACUCCUGGUCGUAUACUUGGUUGCUGUGCUAAGCUGGACAGAUGAUGGUAGCUCUGCUCCAGCUCCCACUCCAUUGUGACCAGAUGAAUCAGGACUGGCCCCAGGUUGUCCACUUGGGGAAGAUCCAGCAGAGUUUCCCUGAUGUCAUGGAUGUCCC